AAAUUGAAGAGUUUGAUCAUGGCUCAGAUUGAACGCUGGCGGCAGGCCUAACACAUGCAAGUCGAACGGUAGCACAGAGAGCUUGCUCUCGGGUGACGAGUGGCGGACGGGUGAGUAAUGUCUGGGAAACUGCCUGAUGGAGGGGGAUAACUACUGGAAACGGUGGCUAAUACCGCAUAACGUCGCAAGACCAAAGAGGGGGACCUUCGGGCCUCUUGCCAUCAGAUGUGCCCAGAUGGGAUUAGCUGGUUGGUGAGGUAACGGCUCACCAAGGCGACGAUCCCUAGCUGGUCUGAGAGGAUGACCAGCCACACUGGAACUGAGACACGGUCCAGACUCCUACGGGAGGCAGCAGUGGGGAAUAUUGCACAAUGGGCGCAAGCCUGAUGCAGCCAUGCCGCGUGUAUGAAGAAGGCCUUCGGGUUGUAAAGUACUUUCAGCGGGGAGGAAGGUGUUGUGGUUAAUAACCGCAGCAAUUGACGUUACCCGCAGAAGAAGCACCGGCUAACUCCGUGCCAGCAGCCGCGGUAAUACGGAGGGUGCAAGCGUUAAUCGGAAUUACUGGGCGUAAAGCGCACGCAGGCGGUCUGUCAAGUCGGAUGUGAAAUCCCCGGGCUCAA
rnacentral:rRNA from 1 species